rnacentral:rRNA from 1 species
AACGAACGCUGGCGGCAUGCCUAACACAUGCAAGUCGAACGAGACCUUCGGGUCUAGUGGCGCACGGGUGCGUAACGCGUGGGAACCUGCCCUUAGGUUCGGAAUCACUCCCCGAAAGGGGUGCUAAUACCGGAUAAUGUCUUCGGACCAAAGAUUUAUCGCCUUUGGAUGGGCCCGCGUUGGAUUAGCUAGUUGGUAGGGUAAAAGCCUACCAACGCGACGAUCCAUAGCUGGUCUGAGAGGAUGAUCAGCCACACUGGGACUGAGACACGGCCCAGACUCCUACGGGAGGCAGCAGUGGGGAAUAUUGGACAAUGGGCGAAAGCCUGAUCCAGCAAUGCCGCGUGAGUGAUGAAGGCCUUAGGGUUGUAAAGCUCUUUUACCCGGGAUGAUAAUGACAGUAACGGGAGAAUAAGCUCCGGCUAACUCCGUG